UACGAAGGGAGCUAGCGUUGUUCGGAAUCACUGGGCGUAAAGCGCACGUAGGCGGAUGUGUCAGUCAGGGGUGAAAUCCCGGAGCUCAACUUCGGAACUGCCUCUGAUACAGCACGUCUUGAGUCCGAUAGAGGUGGGUGGAAUUCCUAGUGUAGAGGUGAAAUUCGUAGAUAUUAGGAAGAACACCGGUGGCGAAGGCGGGUCUCUGGGCCGAUACUGACGCUGAGGAGCGAAAGCGUGGGGAGCAAACAGG
rnacentral:rRNA from 1 species